UAGGGAAUCUUCGGCAAUGGGGGGAACCCUGACCGAGCAACGCCGCGUGAGUGAAGAAGGUUUUCGGAUCGUAAAGCUCUGUUGUUAAGGAAGAACGAGUGUGAGAAUGGAAAGUUCAUACUGUGACGGUACUUAACCAGAAAGGGACGGCUAACUACGUGCCAGCAGCCGCGGUAAUACGUAGGUCCCGAGCGUUGUCCGGAUUUAUUGGGCGUAAAGCGAGCGCAGGCGGUUAGAUAAGUCUGAAGUUAAAGGCAGUGGCUCAACCAUUGUAGGCUUUGGAAACUGUUUAACUUGAGUGCAGAAGAGGAGAGUGGAAUUCCAUGUGUAGCGGUGAAAUGCGUAGAUAUAUGGAGGAACACCAGUGGCGAAAGCGGCUCUCUGGUCUGUACCUGACGCUGAGGCUCGAAAGCGUGGGGAGCGAACAGG
rnacentral:rRNA from 1 species